AAGAUUCUGUCUGUGACACUACCCUGGGACCUAGCAGGUGUCACAAUGAGCAACAGGUGGUGGUUGGGGGAGAAAAUACUUCUUCAUGCUGUUCUUGAACGGACAAAACAGCAGGUUAAACAAAUCCGACGAGGCCUGAAAGAUGCAGGUAUCUGGGAAUUUUUUAGCUCCAGGCCAGGCGCAGCUGAAGUCCUAUUCCCAAGGGCCUGCGAUGCAGAGAUUACGCCAAAAAUGAUUCUGGACAACAUCACCUGGCCAAGAGAGGAGGACAUUGAUGAGGACAUCAUCAGCCUGGAGGAACACUGCAGCAAUAUGUCCUUCCUCCGAAAAUUUAUUGAUGAAGGU